UGCCUACGGGACGCAGCAGUCGGGAAUAUUGCGCAAUGGAGGCAACUCUGACGCAGUGACGCCGCGUAUAGGAAGAAGGUUUUCGGAUUGUAAACUAUUGUCCACAGGGAAGAAAAAGACUGUACCUGUGAAGAAAGCUCCGGCUAACUCCGUGCCAGCAGCCGCGGUAAUACGGAGGGUGCGAGCGUUAAUCGGAAUUACUGGGCGUAAAGCGCUCGUAGGCGGUAUGUCAAGUCAAGGGUGAAAUCCCCGCGCUCAACGUGGGAACUGCCUUUGAAACUGGCAAACUGGAGUGUGUGAGAGGG
rnacentral:rRNA from 1 species